UCCCUAGUAGCUCAGGUGGUAAAGCUUCCGCCUGCAAUGCAGGAGACCCAGGUUCGAUCCCUGGGUCAGGAA
rnacentral:tRNA from 1 species